GACGAACGCUGGCGGCGUGCUUAACACAUGCAAGUCGAACGAUGAAACCUAGCUUGCUAGGUCGAUUAGUGGCGAACGGGUGAGUAACACGUGACUAACCUACCCCUUUCUCUGGGAUAACGCUCCGAAAGGAGUGCUAAUACCGGAUACUCACAUCGAGGCACAUGCCUUGGUGUGGAAAGUUUUUCGGAAAGGGAUGGAGUCGCGGCCUAUCAGCUUGUUGGUGAGGUAACGGCUACACAAGGGGACGACGGGUAGCCGGCCUGAGAGGGCGACCGGCCACACAGGGACUGAGACACCGCCCAGACUCCUACGGGAGGCAGCAGUGGGGAAUAUUGCACAAUGGGCGCAAGCCUGAUGCAGCGACGCCGCGUGAGGGAUGAAGGUCUUCGGAUUGUAAACCUCUUUCAGUAGGGACAAAGCGAAAGUGACGGUACCUAAAGAAGAAGCACCGGCUAACUACGUGCCAGCCGCCGCGGUAA
rnacentral:rRNA from 1 species